GCCGGAUACAGGAGACGGGAAGAAACAAGCCGAUUAUGUUCGCUUUAAUUAAGUGUUUGGAAGAUGUAAAAUUCUCAAUUCUGCCAACUGAACAUAUACGAGAUUUUAAUGAGGAUGAAUAAUUAGCCGGCAUGGAGGAAACGGACCUUUAUUUGGUGGAGUGGCGACAAGAAGCCAAAAGGCGGGUGGCCGGUCUAUGAAGCCUCCAUCAUCAAGCUAGCAGCCCAUGAAAUCGAAUGCAGAUCUUCCUGAUGUGAGAUUUACAUAAAUAUGUCAAAGUCUCAACCUCAUGCUGCCCUCCCCCAUCCUCCUAAAGUAAGUAUUUGUUGUUGUAGUUUUUUAUACAGUGUCUGUGUCACAUGCUAAUCAUAAUUAUUGAAAUAACUG
ensembl:lncRNA